AACGAACGCUGGCGGCAUGCCUAACACAUGCAAGUCGAACGAGACCUUCGGGUCUAGUGGCGCACGGGUGCGUAACGCGUGGGAACCUGCCCUUAGGUUCGGAAUAACUCCCCGAAAGGGGUGCUAAUACCGGAUAAUGUCUUCGGACCAAAGAUUUAUCGCCUUUGGAUGGGCCCGCGUUGGAUUAGCUAGUUGGUAGGGUAAAAGCCUACCAAGGCGACGAUCCAUAGCUGGUCUGAGAGGAUGAUCAGCCACACUGGGACUGAGACACGGCCCAGACUCCUACGGGAGGCAGCAGUGGGGAAUAUUGGACACUGGGCGAAAGCCUGAUCCAGCAAUGCCGCGUGAGUGAUGAAGGCCUUAGGGUUGUAAAGCUCUUUUACCCGGGAUGAUCAUGACAGUACCGGGAGAAUAAGCUCCGGCUAACUCCGUG
rnacentral:rRNA from 1 species